rnacentral:rRNA from 1 species
AAUGAACGCUGGCGGCGCGCCUAAUACAUGCAAGUCGAGCGAGAAGACGUAGCAAUACGUUUGUAAAGCGGCGAACGGGUGAGGAAUACAUGGGUAACCUACCCUCGAGUGGGGAAUAACUAGCCGAAAGGUUAGCUAAUACCGCGUACGCUCCUUGGACUUCGGUUCAGGGAGGAAAGCGAUACCGUGGGUAUCGCGCUCUUGGAUGGGCUCAUGUCCUAUCAGCUUGUUGGAGGUAA